rnacentral:rRNA from 1 species
UAGCGGAGGAAAAGAAACCAACAGGGAUUGCCUUAGUAGCGGCGAGUGAAGCGGCAAAAGCUCAAAUUUGAAAUCUGGCACUUUCAGUGUCCGAGUUGUAAUUUGAAGAAGGUAUCUUUGGGUCUGGCUCUUGUCUAUGUUUCUUGGAACAGAACGUCACAGAGGGUGAGAAUCCCGUGCGAUGAGAUGUCCCAGACCUAUGUAAAGUUCCUUCGAAGAGUCGAGUUGUUUGGGAAUGCAGCUCUAAGUGGGUGGUAAAUUCCAUCUAAAGCUAAAUAUUGGCGAGAGACCGAUAGCGAACAAGUACAGUGAUGGAAAGAUGAAAAGAACUUUGAAAAGAGAGUGAAAAAGUACGUGAAAUUGUUGAAAGGGAAGGGCUUGAGAUCAGACUUGGUAUUUUGUAUGUUACUCUCUCGGGGGUGGCCUCUACAGUUUACCGGGCCAGCAUCAGUUUGAGCGGUAGGAUAAGUGCAAAGAAAUGUGGCACUGCUUCGGUAGUGUGUUAUAGUCUUUGUCGAUACUGCCAGCUUAGACUGAGGACUGCGGCUUCGGCCUAGGAUGUUGGCAUAAUGAUCUUAAGUCGCCCGUCUU